UUAGAAGGUACUCUAACCUAAGCAAGAGUGCGACUGAGCCUUGGAUCAUCGUUCGUUGACUUGUGAGAGCUCUUGGAGACGUCUCUUGAGCAGCAUUGGGGCUUCGUUGAGCCGUUGUGGGACUUCUU